AGCAGCCGCGGUAAUUCCAGCUCCAAUAGCGUAUAUUAAAGUUGUUGCAGUUAAAAAGCUCGUAGUUGAAUUUCGGGAUUAGUAAGUUGGUCGUGCCUCUGGUAUGUACUGGCUUUACUGGUUCCUCCUUCUUGAAGAACUGUAACGUCAUUAAUUUGGUGUUGCAGGGAAACAGGACUGUUACUUUGAAAAAAUUAGAGUGUUUAAAGCAGGCUAACGCUUGAAUACAUUAGCAUGGAAUAAUGAAAUAGGACGUUUGAUCCUAUUUUGUUGGUUUCUAGGAUUGACGUAAUGAUUAAUAGGGAUAGUUGGGGGCAUUAGUAUUCAAUUGUCAGAGGUGAAAUUCUUGGAUUUAUUGAAGACUAACUACUGCGAAAGCAUUUGCCAAGGAUGUUUUCAUUAAUCAAGAACGAAAGUUAGGGGAUCGAAGACGAUCAGAUACCGUCGUAGUCUUAACCAUAAACUAUGCCGACUAGGGAUCGGAUGAUGUUAAUUUUUUAAUGACUCAUUCGGCGCCUUA
rnacentral:rRNA from 1 species